rnacentral:rRNA from 1 species
AUUGAACGCUGGCGGCAUGCUUUACACAUGCAAGUCGAACGGUAACAGGUUAAGCUGACGAGUGGCGAACGGGUGAGUAAUGCAUCGGAACGUGCCCGGUCGUGGGGGAUAACGCAGCGAAAGCCGCGCUAAUACCGCAUACGAUCUGAGGAUGAAAGCGGGGGACCGUAAGGCCUCGCGCGAUCGGAGCGGCCGAUGUCUGAUUAGGUAGUUGGUGGGGUAAAGGCUCACCAAGCCAACGAUCUGUAGCUGGUCUGAGAGGACGACCAGCCACACUGGGACUGAGACACGGCCCAGACUCCUACGGGAGGCAGCAGUGGGGAAUUUUGGACAAUGGGCGAAAGCCUGAUCCAGCAAUGCCGCGUGCAGGAAGAAGGCCUUCGGGUUGUAAACUGCUUUUGUACGGAGCGAAAAGGUCUCCUCUAAUACAGGGGGCUCAUGACGGUACCGUAAGAAUAAGCACCGGCUAACUACGUGCCAGCAGCCGCCGUAA